GGAUUGUGGCUCAGCGGUAGAGCCUUUGCCUAGCAUGCAUGGGGCCCUGGGUUUGAUCCUCAGCACCA
rnacentral:tRNA from 1 species